rfam:Triticum aestivum genome assembly, contig: Triticum_aestivum_CS42_TGACv1_scaffold_129440_2BL
GCUAGGAAGAGGAAGAAAGAGAGGGCCUAAGAGAAAUGGGAAUGAGAACAUUAAGGAAAGCGUAACUUAUUGGUCCUUCACCUCUUGUGUUGAGGUGGAAAUCCAGUUUGGUAUUUCCUGAUGCCUCUCAUCCCUAUUGUUCUUAAGCGCUCCUUCCUCUUCCUUUUUGCU